GGUGGCUCAGUGGUAGAGUGCUUGCCUUGCAUGCAUGAAACCCUGGGUUCGAUUCCUCAGCACCA
rfam:Dipodomys ordii contig_56708, whole genome shotgun sequence.